CAAAAGGCUGUCAACAGCCACCAACAAUAAAAGUUAUAUUUUAU
rfam:Rattus norvegicus chromosome 2, whole genome shotgun sequence.